UACGGGGGGGCAAGCGUUGUUCGGAAUUACUGGGCGUAAAGGGCGCGUAGGCGCCUUCUAAGUCGGACGUGAAAUCCCUCGGCUUAACCGAGGAACUGCGUCCGAUACUGAAAGGCUUGAAUCCGGGAGAGGGAUGUGGAAUUCCAGGUGUAGCGGUGAAAUGCGUAGAUAUCUGGAGGAACACCGGUGGCGAAGGCGGCAUCCUGGACCGGUAUUGACGCUGAGGAGCGAAAGCGUGGGGAGCGAACGAGGAAUUGAG
rnacentral:rRNA from 1 species